UCCGGCCAUAUCACGUUGAAACACCGUAUGAUCCCCGAAGUUAAGCAACAUCAAGCCUGGUCAGUACCUAGAUGGGUGACCACUUGUGAAUACCAAUUGCUGUAAG